rnacentral:rRNA from 1 species
CAGGUUGCUGCAUGGCUGUCGUCGGCUCGUGUCGUGAGAUGUUGGGUUAAGUCCCGCAACGAGCGCAACCCUUGUCUUUAGUUGCCAUCAUUUAGUUGGGCACUCUAAAGAGACUGCCGGUGUCAAACCGGAGGAAGGUGGGGAUGACGUCAAGUCCUCAUGGCCUUUAUGACCAGGGCUACACACGUACUACAAUGGCCGGUACAAAGGGCAGCCACUUAGCGAUAAGGAGCCAAUCCCGUAAAGCCGGUCUCAGUCCGGAUUGGAGCCUGCAACUCGACUCCAUGAAGUUGGAAUCGCUAGUAAUCGCAGAUCAGCACGCUGCGGUGAAUACGUUCCCGGGCCUU